rnacentral:rRNA from 1 species
GACAAAGGUGAGGAAGUUGAGUCUCCGAACAAGAGUAAACAACCACGGAAGAGGAAAGAGGCACCUAACCAGGGGGUGUCAUGUGAUCUCUUCAAUGGCCUGUGGCACCCAACAGUGGUCAGCAUCGGUCCGGUGCUCGACAACUCGCUGCAGUGCGCCCCGGACGCCAGGUUCCGCCCCCAGCUCUUCGACCUCCGGCGCCUCAAGAGCCUCACCUUCUACGCCUGCUUCCCGGCGACCAACCCCACGGCGAUCCCGGCCGCGAACUGGGACAGGCUCGCCGGCACCCUCGAGACGCUCGAGUUCCGCUCCAACCCGGGCCUGGCCGGCGCCAUCCCGGCGUCCCUCGGCCGCCUGGCCAGCCUGCAGUCCCUGGUCCUCGUCGACAACAACCUCACGGGCGCCGUGCCGCCGGAGCUCGGCGGGCUGGCGAAGCUGCGGCGGCUCGUGCUGUCCGGGAACGGGCUGUCGGGCCCGGUGCCGGCGACGCUCGGUGGGCUCAAGGGGCUGCUCAAGAUGGACCUCAGCAACAACCGCCUCGACGGCCGCAUCCCGCCGGAGCUCGCCGGCCUCGAGAGCCUCACGCUGCUCGACCUCCGGAACAACAGCCUCACCGGCGGGCUGCCGGAGUUCGUGCUGGGGAUGCCGGCGCUGCAGGACCUGCUGCUCUCCAGCAACCCGCUGCUGGGAGGCACCCUGAUGCAGCGCGGCUGGGAGAAGAUGGCGAGCCUGGCCACGCUGGACCUGUCCAACGUCGGCCUCGCCGGCGCCAUCCCGGAGUCCAUGGCGGGGAUGCCCAGGCUACGGUUCCUCGCGCUGGACCACAACCGCCUCUCGGGCACCGUGUCGGCCAAGCUCGCCUCGCUGCCGAGCAUCGGCGCGAUGUACCUCAACGGCAACAACCUGACGGGGGCGCUGGAGUUCUCGCCGGCGUUCUACGAGAGGAUGGGCAGCCGGUUCGCCUCCUGGGACAACCCCGGCCUGUGCGCCGCGGAGACGGCCGGGGGCGCGCCGACCGGCGUGGCCGUGUGCAAGGACGCGCAGGACCCGCCUCGCGUCGGCGUGAGGGACGGGAUGGAUGGGGGCGGGAAGAAGCCCGAGGCGAGCUCCAGCCUCCCGGCGUCCUCCUCUUCGUCUGCCAUGGUCGCCGUGCUCUGGUGGUCGGUGCUGGUUCAGGGGAUGGCGAUGGCGUUGUAG